UGAUUACCUUGUCAGACACACGCUGUUGGAGACGUAUUCCUGUCAGGUAAUCAGCAAC
rnacentral:pre_miRNA from 1 species